AUACUUACCUGACAGGGUUUAUUGGUGAUCCUGAAGGCCAAUGGCCCAGGUUUGGCCUUCCCAUUGCACUCUGGCUUGGCUGGCCUACCUUCUUCCCAAAGUGGAGGAGUGGACGUCGUGAAUUUCUGGAAGUUGAGGGCUCGUGUACGCGCGGCCCUCUC
rfam:Selaginella moellendorffii unplaced genomic scaffold SELMOscaffold_27, whole genome shotgun sequence.